GUUAGUCUCUAAGGUGCCACAAGUACUCCUUUUCUUUUUGCGAAUACAGACUAACAUGGCUGUUCCUCUGAAACCUGUCAGAAUGGAAAUGCUGCACUUGGAUUGUUGAAAGGACUGGAUUGUUUUGUUUUCCAUUGAUAACAUUUGCAUUUAAGUAACAUGAGAGAAUGAUAUGGACAAUGAUGGAACAUCAAAUACCACAGGGCAACAAUCCUAGUAGAUAGAAGGGAAGCAGUAGAUGUGAGAAGAGAAGACUGAGGAGGGACAUGACAGUCUUCAGAGCCAGAAGCCUCAAGUUUGGUCCGAAUCACAAACGGCGUUGAUAAUCUCAGAAGGACUCGUUCAAAUGUGGCACUGACCUUCG